AAGAUGGCUGCGCCCAUUCAACAACAAGUGGCAUCAAAACAAACGAUUAAAUUAAUUGUUUUAGGAAAUGUCAUCAAGUCAAUUUCAUGCAUUCUUCUACUUUUUAUUGCAAAAAUUUCAAAUUCUCGAUUGAGUCUAAUAGAUAACAGUUUACUAGCCAUAAAAGUUGACAUCUUUUGUAUAAGUGGAUUGGAAUUGUUUACAAACUUUCUGAAUAAAGAAAAAGUUCAGUUCAAGCUGAUAGAUUGGGCAAAAUGUGUCAUAUUAAUGGUUAUUUCCUGUGCAUUUUUCUAUGUAGUAGCAGUUGUAUUUGGUGCCCCUUUUCUACAGCAUACCAAUGAAACAUUUCACUUAGCAAUAUUGUUGACUGUUACAACAGUUUUACCAUGCUGUCUAGCUCUAGGUACAGAUAUUGCUAAUUGGGUGAAAGUAUUUGUAUUAAACAG